rnacentral:misc_RNA from 1 species
GAUGAAGAACGCAGCGAAAUGCGAUAAGUAAUGCGAAUUGCAGAAUUUCCGUGAGCCAUCGAAUCUUUGAACGCACAUUGCGCCCCCUGGUAUUCCGGGGGGCAUGCCUGUCCGAGCGUCAUUGCUGCCCUCAAGCACGGCUUGUGUGCUGGGCCUCCGUCCUCCUCCCGGGGGACGGGCCCGAAAGGCAGCGGCGGCACCGCGUCCGGUCCUCGAGCGUAUGGGGCUUCGUCACCCGCUCUUGUAGGCCCGGCCGGCGCUUGCCGACACAUCAAUCUUUUUUCCAGGUUGACCUCGGAUCAGGUAGGGAUACCCGCUGAACUUAAGCAUAUCAAUAAGCGGAGGA